GGAGAGAUAGCGCAGCGGUUAAGAGUACGGACUGUUCUUCCAGAGGUCCUGAGUUCAAUUCCCAGCAACCUCA
rnacentral:tRNA from 1 species